rnacentral:lncRNA from 1 species
GACAGUUGCAGGCCUUCUUCUCAACGGAAGUGGCCCAGUCAUCCUGGUCAAAGGGGUCUUCGAUGGAGAUCACUGGUGGGGUUUGGAGCAGAGACAGGGCAGAGACAGAGCAGAGACAGGGCUAGAGGUCAGAAGGAGCCUCAUGGAGGGGUGACAGGGCAGAAGAGCUUAAAUGGGGAUUUCAAUGGGGCUAAGGAUUGGAAGGAUCCAAGUCGAUGGCAAAGCAGGUCACUGAAAUCAGUAUAUUAGGCAGCUGCAUGGGA